UGGAAGGUUUCAAGAAAAAGAGAAGAAAAAAAUAAAGCUGACAAAUGAGUGCAGCAUUGUGACACGCACAUUGUGACUACUGCACAUUCUCUACAGCGUCAAAGGUGUCCUGGCCGACAGCUCUUUGGCAUCUGGACUGUCUGUCGUCGUCUUGGGGAUGAAACAUCGGCCACGAGUCAUCGUGCACACGUCACACACACACACACACUGGGGCGGGCAGGCAGGCUUAGAAGGGGGCAACCCAAAUACGGUGUAACACGCACACGGUCGACGACGGCAGAGGCGGAUGUGUGUACCUGGUCGGCAACAUGAGCUUGCAGACAUUAGGUGCUAACCGCACAGGAUAGGAAGUGAAAAAGCAGCCAGUCAGUGAAUAAUAAUGUGGUGAUAAGUUCUUUUACGCCAAGGAAGGAAUCCCUUUGCCUCAAAAGGGUGGCCCGUAAACACAACACAGGCGUUGACGCACAGUUCCUUCACCCCAUCAAAAGACGCACCUGAUGUCGGCGGGGAAAGCAGCUACCAUCCGGCAGCACACAGUCGCAACAAACAACGAAAGGGAGUUUGGGAAAGGGAGCAGCGGUGCA
rnacentral:lncRNA from 1 species